GUUGAAGCGCGGGUAAGACCGCGUGGAGGACCGAACCCACCUGGGUUGAAAACCGGGGGGAUGACCUGGGGCUAGGGGUGAAAGGCCAAUCAAAUUCCGUGAUAGCUGGUUCUCUCCGAAAUGCAUUUGGGUGCAGCGUCGGGUCAUUACGUCCCGGGGGUAGAGCUACUGGAUGCUUGCGGGCCCGUAUCGGGUACCAACAGCAACCAAACUCCGAAUACCGGUGACGCGUAUCCCGGCAGUGAGUCGGCGGGGGAUAAGCUUCGUCGUCGAAAGGGAAACAGCCCAGACCGUCGUCUAAGGUCCCGAAGCGUGUGCUAAGUGGGAAAGGAUGUGGAGUCGCAUAGACAGCCAGGAGGUUGGCUCAGAAGCAGCCACCCUUGAAAGAGUGCGUAACAGCUCACUGGUCUAGUGGUUCCGCGCCGACAAUGUAGCGGGGCUCAAGCACACCACCGAAGACGCGGCAGUAUUUUGUACUGGGUAGGAGAGCGUCCCAUGAGGGGCGAAGCGGCCGUGUGAACGCGCCGUGGACUUCAUGGGAGUGAGAAUGCAGACAUGAGUAGCGAGAGACGGGUGAGGAUCCCGUCCGCUGGAUGACCAAGGGUUCCGGGGCCACGUUCGUCGUCCCCGGGUGAGUCGGGUCCUAAGGCGAGGCCGACAGGCGUAGUCGAAUGGAUGAACGGGUGGAUAUUCCCGUACCGGCGGCGUACCGUAAGAGCCGAACGGAUGAGUACUAACCUCCGGUCGCGUGGCGUCGUUCCCUUCGGGGUUCGGGGCGCGUGGCUGUUGGGAGCGUAGUCCUGGUAGGCUAGCGCACAGGGGUGACACGGAAUGGGAGCCGGCCGCGGAGGUGGUUUUCCGUGGUCAAGCACGCAGCCCGUCCCAUAGGCAAAUCCGUGGGACGCAUAGGGUGAGGUGUGAUGAUGGGCGUCCUUUGGACGCGAUAUCCGGUGGUCCAGGCCGUCGAGAAAAGCCUCGGCGCGAGGGGCGUCGCCGCCCGUACCCCAAACCGACACUGGUGGUCAGGUAGAGAAUACCAAGGCGAUCGAGCGAAUCCUGGUCAAGGAACUCGGCAAAUCACUCCCGUGCCUUCGGUAUAAGGGAGACCCCCGGGCGUGAAGAGGCUUGCCCUCGGAGCGUUGGGGGGUGGCACAGACCAGGGGGUAGCGACUGUUUACCAAAAACACAGGUGCAUGCGAAGGCGCAAGCCGCUGUAUAUGCACUGACGCCUGCCCGGUGCCGGAAGGUUAAGAGGAUCCGUCAGCCUUCGGGUGAAGCGGUGAAUUCAAGCCCCGGUAAACGGCGGUGGUAACUAUAACCAUCCUAAGGUAGCGAAAUUCCUUGUCGGGUAAGUUCCGACCUGCACGAAUGGCGUAACGACUUCCCCACUGUCUCGACCAGGAGCUCGGCGAAAUUGCAGUACGAGUAAAGAUGCUCGUUAAGCGCAGAAGGACGAAAAGACCCCGGGACCUUUACUAUACCUUGGUAUUGGCAUUCGGUGUGGAUUGUGUAGCAUAGGCGGGAGGCUUCGAAGCAUGGGCGCCAGCCCGUGUGGAGCCGCAAGGUGAAAUACCGCUCUGUUCUCGUUUGACGUCUCACCUCGAACAGUCAUCCUGUUCAGGGACAGUGCCUGGCGGGUAGUUUAACUGGGGCGGUUGCCUCCCAAAGAGUAACGGAGGCGCCCAAAGGUCCGCUCAGCCCGGUUGGCAAUCGGGUGGCGAGUGCAAGUGCACAAGCGGGCUUGACUGCGAGGACGACGGUCCGAGCAGGGACGAAAGUCGGGACUAGUGAUCCGGUGCCGGUGUACGGACGCGGCAUCGCUCAACGGAUAAAAGGUACCCCGGGGAUAACAGGCUGAUCAUUCCCAAGAGUCCAUAUCGACGGGAUGGUUUGGCACCUCGAUGUCGGCUCGUCGCAUCCUGGGGCUGGAGCAGGUCCCAAGGGUUCGGCUGUUCGCCGAUUAAAGCGGCACGCGAGCUGGGUUCAGAACGUCG
rnacentral:rRNA from 1 species